rnacentral:rRNA from 1 species
CGGCAACAGCUCAAAUUUGAAAUCUGGCUCUCGGGCCCGAGUUGUAAUUUGUAGAGGAUACUUUUGAUGCGGUGCCUUCCGAGUUCCCUGGAACGGGACGCCAUAGAGGGUGAGAAUCCCGUCU